UACGAAGGGGGCUAGCGUUGCUCGGAAUGACUGGGCGUAAAGGGCGCGUAGGCGGUUUGCACAGUCAGGCGUGAAAUUCCUGGGCUUAACCUGGGGGCUGCGCUUGAUACGUGUGGACUGGAGUGCGGAAGAGGGUCGUGGAAUUCCCAGUGUAGAGGUGAAAUUCGUAGAUAUUCGGAAGAACACCAGUGGCGAAGGCGGCUCACUGGCCCGGUACUGACGCUGAGGUGCGAAAGCGUGGGGAGCAAACAGG
rnacentral:rRNA from 1 species